rnacentral:rRNA from 1 species
AGGGCGGGAGAGUCUGAGUACUACAGGGUAGGGGUGAAUCUUAUAAUCCUUUAGGACCACCAGUGGCGAAGGCGUCAGACUGGAACGCGCCUGACGGUGAGGGACGAAAGCCAGGGGAGCGAACCGGAUUAGAUACCCGGGUAGUCCUGGCCGUAAACGAUGCAUACUGGGUGAUGGCACGGCCAUGAGCCGUGUCAGUGCCGUAGGGAAACCGUUAAGUGUGCCGCCUGGGAAGUACGGUCGCAAGGCUAAAACUUAAAGGAAUUGGCGGGGGAGCACCACAAGGGGUGAAGCCUGCGGUUUAAUUGGACUCAACGCCGGGAAACUUACCAGGGGAGACAGUAGAAUGCAGGUCAGGUUGACGACCUUACCUAACGAGCUGAGAGGAGGUGCAUGGCCGUCGCCAGUUCGUGCUGUGAGGUAUCCUGUUAAGUCAGGCAACGAACGAGAUCCGCACCUUUAUUUGCCAGCAAGAAGCUACGGCUUUGUUGGGAACACUAAAGGGACCGCCGUCGUUAAGACGGAGGAAGGAGCGGGCAAAGGCAGGUCAGUAUGCCCCGAAACCCCUGGGCUACACGCGGGCUGCAAUGGUAUGAACAAUGGGCUGUGACUCCGAAAGGAGAAACCAAUCCCGAAAUCAUAUCUCAGUUGGGAUUGUUGGCUGUAACCCGCUGACAUGAGCGUGGAAUCCCUAGUAAUCGUGUGUCACCAUCGCACG